ACUGGGAGCGUACACAGGUGCUGCAUGGCUGUCGUCAGCUCGUGUCGUGAGAUGUUGGGUUAAGUCCCGUAACGAGCGCAACCCUUGUCCUUAGUUACCAGCACGUUAUGGUGGGCACUCUAAGGAGACUGCCGGUGACAAACCGGAGGAAGGUGGGGGAUGACGUCAAGUCAUCAUGGCCCUUACAGCCUGGGCUACACACGUGCUACAAUGGUCGGUACAAAGGGUUGCCAAGCCGCGAGGUGGAGCUAAUCCCAUAAAACCGAUCGUAGUCCGGAUCGCAGUCUGCAACUCGACUGCGUGAAGUCGGAAUCGCUAGUAAUCGUGAAUCAGAAUGUCACGGUGAAUACCGGUUCCCGGGCCUU
rnacentral:rRNA from 1 species